rnacentral:lncRNA from 1 species
CCGCCAUGGAGCCGCAGGAACGGCAGGAUCUGCGCCCGCUCUACCGCCUGGUGCUGGUCGCUGUGGUGCUGCUUUCCUGGUUCUCCGUCCUGUACGGGGCGCGGGAGGCAGCACGGCGGCAGCUGCAGAGCGAGCAGGCGGUGCCUCGGCUGCCCUAGGCGGAGGCGGAGAGGCCGAAGGACGGCGGCGUGGUCUCCGAGGGAGCCGUCGGAGGACGGGAGAAGUUGCUUGGCCAACUGGGCGAAUAAAGGCUAAGCUGUCUUUAAGAAAAAAAAAACGACAAACUUAAAAAAAAAAAGUUGGCUCCUUACUGAUUUGUUACAUCGUGUUGGGGAGAGAGAGGCAGGCAGAGAUAGUGAGGCUGCAGUCAGCAGGCUGCCUUCCACAACAUCUGUGUAUAGAAUUGUGGAAACAUAAAAUGGUUUGAGUUGGAAGGGACUGUUAAAGGCCAUCCAAUGCACAUCUCCUGCAAUGAACAGGGACGCCUACAGCUCCGUCAGGGUGUCAGAGCGCAGUCCAGCCUGGCCUUGAGUGUCUCCAGGGACAGGGCAUCCAGC